rnacentral:tRNA from 1 species
GGGCCCGUAGAUCAGGGGUAGAUCACCCCCUUGGCAUGGGGGAGGCCGCGGGUUCAAAUCCCGCCGGGUCCA